UUUUGGGUUUGUGAUGACAUUCCGUCAUUUGAGUAUUUUUAAUUAUUAUUCUAUAGUAUUUUAGUUAAUUUUUAAGAGUAUUGCAUGAUCAAAGAGAAGAAUUUAUGAAGAAAUUGACACAUAAAAGAGUUCGAAGAUAAAAGCCUAGAAGAAAAAAAAGACUUGGAAAACAUUCCAAAAAUUGCAAAGACUUGGAGAAAUAAGCAUUGAAGCUACUGUUUUUCUCGCGUCCCUGCACAGUUCCAGCCGCGGUGCGAUUUGGAUUUUCCAACACAUGACAUCAUCAACGCAUCAGCAUGAGGCAAUCAAGCUUUUAAUCACAUGCCACAUGCCACCUAGGCAUACACGUGACUUGCUUUGUUGCAAGGCAUAUAAAUAAAGAAGCACUAAACCUAAGAAAGAAUCACGCACGCCGAGAGAGAAAAAAAGACCACAGACGAGAGAGACCGACGGCUUGCACAGCAGAGCAACUAAUUGGUGAUUCAAGUCAUUCAACAACAAUUUUAUGUGUAAUUUUGAAUACUCUUUUUAUCUCUAGUCAAUAUUAUGAGUAACUAAUUUCUCAAUUGUUAGGGAUGAGUAAACCUAGAUGACUAUUCUUAUUUUAUGAUUUGAUUGAUGACUAUUGAAGAAUUCUAUUGAUUAUUUUUCUUAUAUCUGUGUUUAAUGCUUUUAUCGAUUGAUCACCGUUAAAUUGAUUUACGAUUCAUAUUGUGAUACGGGAGUUGAAUUUAUGAAUGCUUUGANNNNNNUUGUUCAUUCAUGCUUAGUUCUAAUCUUAAAUUCACUAAGGAAUUAGGAAUUAUUUUAGAAUUAACGACUCUGUCACUAAGGAAUUAGGGCACGAAUACUUUAGGGAAUUCGGUAAUAAUUUGAUAAACACCUUUAAUAGUCAUAAUCAAGUCACUACAUUAAGAUAGUAGUCUAGUGAAACUCAUCCCUGACAUUUUCAUUAUUAUUAUCAAAUACAAAGUAAUUUUCGUUGUUAUUAUUAUUAUUGCUAUUGCAAACAAUCAAACUGAAACCUUUUGUUCAAUCGAGUAAAAAUCACAAUUCAACAGUAUAACGCGAUCCUUGAGUUCGACACUCGGUCUUACCGUUUUAAAUAUAUUACUUGCACGAUUUCGUACACUUGCGAAAAUCGCCAUCA
rnacentral:lncRNA from 1 species